rnacentral:rRNA from 1 species
AACUACCCUACAGACCGCGAUAACCUCGGGAAACUGAGGCCAAUAGCGGAUAUCACUCUCAGACUGGAGUGUCGAGAGUGAGAAACGUUCCGGCGCUGUAAGAUGUGGCUGCGGCCGAUUAGGUAGAUGGUGGGGUAACGGCCCACCAUGCCGAUAAUCGGUACAGGUUGUGAGAGCAAGAGCCUGGAGACGGUAUCUGAGACAAGAUACCGGGCCCUACGGGGCGCAGCAGGCGCGAAACCUUUACACUGCACGACAGUGCGAUAGGGGGACUCCGAGUGUGAGGGCAUAUAGCCCUCGCUUUUCUGUACCGUAAGGUGGUACAGGAACAAGGACUGGGCAAGACCGGUGCCAGCCGCCGCGGUAAUACCGGCAGUCCAAGUGAUGGCCGAUAUUAUUGGGCCUAAAGCGUCCGUAGCUUGCUGUGUAAGUCCAUUGGGAAAUCGACCAGCUCAACUGGUCGGCGUCCGGUGGAAACUACACAGCUUGGGGCCGAGAGACUCAACGGGUACGUCCGGGUAGGAGUGAAAUCCUGUAAUCCUGGACGGACCACCAAUGGGGAAACCACGUUGAGAGACCGGACCCGACAGUGAGGGACGAAAGCCAGGGUCUCGAACCGGAUUAGAUACCCGGGUAGUCCUGGCUGUAAACAAUGCUCGCUAGGUAUGUCACGCGCCAUGAGCACGUGAUGUGCCGUAGUGAAGACGAUAAGCGAGCCGCCUGG